rnacentral:tRNA from 1 species
AGCCCUAUGGUGUAGUUAACAUAUUAGGUUGCAAACCUGAGGACGCAGAGUAAUUUCUGCUGGGGCUU